ACAUAGCGUAGCGGUAUGACGCCCAGCUCGAAAGCCCGAGGCUAGGGCUUCGAGUCCGGGCAUCC
rnacentral:tRNA from 11 species